rnacentral:rRNA from 1 species
CCUACGGGUGGCAGCAGUGAGGAAUAUUGGUCAAUGGACGAGAGUCUGAACCAGCCAAGUAGCGUGAAGGAUGACUGCCCUAUGGGUUGUAAACUUCUUUUAUAAAGGAAUAAAACGAGGCACGUGUGCCUUUUUGCAUGUACUUUAUGAAUAAGGAUCGGCUAACUCCGUGCCAGCAGCCGCGGUAAUACGGAGGAUCCGAGCGUUAUCCGGAUUUAUUGGGUUUAAAGGGAGCGUAGAUGGGUUGUUAAGUCAGUUGUGAAAGUUUGCGGCUCAACCGUAAAAUUGCAAUUGAUACUGGAAGUUGUGAGUACAGUUGAGGUAGGCGGAAUUCGUGGUGUAGCGGUGAAAUGCUUAGAUAUCACGAAGAACCCCGAUUGCGAAGGCAGCUUACUAAACUGUGACUGACAUUGAUGCUCGAAAGUGUGGGUAUCAAACAGGAUUAGAUACCCUUGUAGUC